CUAAGAAUAUUCCGCAAUGGACGAAAGUCUGACGGAGCGACGCCGCGUGAACGAAGAAGGCCGGAAGGUUGUAAAGUUCUUUUGAAACUGAAGAAUAAGUAUUGCAGGGAAUGGCGAUAUGGUGACGGUAGGUUUUGAAUAAGCAACGGCUAAUUACGUGCCAGCAGCCGCGGUAACACGUAAGUUGCGAGCGUUGUUCGGAAUUAUUGGGCGUAAAGGGCAUGUAGGCGGUUUUGCAAGCUUGGUGUGAAAUGCAUAGGCUCAACCUAUGAACUGCAUUGAGAACUACAAGACUUGAGUUACUGAGGUGGAACUGGAAUUCCAGGUGUAGGGGUGAAAUCUGCAGAUAUCUGGAAGAACACCAAUGGCGAAGGCAAGUUUCAAGCAGAUAACUGACGCUGAGGUGCGAAGGUGCGGGGAGCAAACAGG
rnacentral:rRNA from 1 species